rnacentral:lncRNA from 1 species
CAAUAAUGGUUUAAGUUACUACGCUUAACGGUUUCAUAAAUUACAAUCUCAUUAAUAAUGUAGUAUCUAUUUUGAAUUGUUGAUACAUUUGCCAACUAAAUCUCACAAAUCACAAAUUAAUUAUCCAUCAAUAAAUUUACAAUUUACAAAUCACAUAUUCACAAAUCACAAAUUCGCUAAAAUCAUAAAUUGAUUGGAGCCACCGAACGGGAAUUAAAAUCAGAACGCUAUACUAACCUUAAUGCUCUGGCCAAUGACAAUGGAGGACUGGAAGAAAGUAGCAAUACAAUAGAAUGGCGAGGCAGCGCGAGUAGGUAGCACUACGUAUACAUCUCAACUAAUAGAAAAAAAGAUUUAACAAAAAGCAAAUUACAGUACGAAAAUAGUCCAUAAUUUAUAUUAUUUGUGUAUCAUCAUUUAUCAUCAACACAAUUCGAAUGAGACGUGAAUAAUUUUCAUAAAUUAGCAGUGAACAAGAAUAAGACACCCAAGGUCGCAAACACAACAAUAAUUCCAAUUUCCAAUUAAAGCUUGAAAUUGGCCAAUUUUUUCAGUAAGUCUGCCACCUAAAUCUCUCCAUGGAAGUUGGAUUACAAUUUACAAACAAAAACAGCUUUCUGGAACUUGAACAACUCUCAAAGAACAAAUGGGCUUCCAUUUUUUAUUUUUUCCUUUUUUUUCACCAAAAUAAUGUUGGUAAGUUAUUUUCUAUUUUGGAAACUGAAUUUCUUGAAAUGGGCAUGUGUAAGACCCAUCUUUCAGGGCCGAAAAUGAAGUAGAAUCCGUGUAUAAAUUCUUCAAAGCUUCGGGGCCCUUUGCCACUGCUUUAUCAAACACUGUAAGCAUCCUUGAAGUUCUACUCUCUUUUCCAAGAAUUCCAACAAAAAGAACUUUUAUUUUCAGUCGCAAUUCAGAGAAUUUCCAAGAAUAUAAUGCGGUUUUUUGUAUAUAAAAUUGCAGAAAGAUCAAAGACAUGAAGAUGGAUGAUGUUGACAAUUUCGAGAGUAACAGUUUCGAGCGUGUAUAGAAGAGUAUGGAAAAAAUCUAAUAAGAAAUAACUCGUGUGGAAAUAAGAAACUCUCAACACAUAUAGACCUCUCUCUCUAUAGACCAUAACCAUCUAAGAACUUAAACAAAAAUCUAAAAAACAAGAAUAAAUGUAUGGGAAAUGAAGUAACGGGAAACAGGUUGCAAUUAACAUGAAUAAUAAAUUGAAAA